rnacentral:rRNA from 1 species
AGUCACUGACAUUAGAUACCCCGGUAGUCCAGGGUGUAAACGCUGCAGACUUGGUGUUGGAAGUCCUUUGGGGGCAUUCAGUGCCGGAGAGAAGUUGUUAAGUCUGCUACUUGGGAGUACGUCCGCAAGGAUGAAACUUAAAGGAAUUGGCGGGGGAGCACCGCAACGGGAGGAGCGUGCGGUUUAAUUGGAUUCAACACCGUAAACUCACCAGGGAAGACUGUUACAUGAAAGCCGAGAUGAAGACUCUGCUAGAUUUUCAG